rnacentral:rRNA from 1 species
CCUACGGGAGGCUGCAGUGGGGAAUAUUGGACAAUGGGCGAAAGCCUGAUCCAGCCAUGCCGCGUGUGUGAAGAAGGCCUUCGGGUUGUAAAGCACUUUCAGUGGGGAAGAAAGCCUUGGGGCUAAUACCCUCGAGGAAGGACAUCACCCACAGAAGAAGCACCGGCUAACUCCGUGCCAGCAGCCGCGGUAAUACGGAGGGUGCGAGCGUUAAUCGGAAUUACUGGGCGUAAAGCGCGCGUAGGCGGUCUGAUAAGCCGGUUGUGAAAGCCCCGGGCUCAACCUGGGAACGGCAUCCGGAACUGUCAGGCUAGAGGGCAGGAGAGGAAGGUAGAAUUCCCGGUGUAGCGGUGAAAUGCGUAGAGAUCGGGAGGAAUACCAGUGGCGAAGGCGGCCUUCUGGACUGACACUGACGCUGAGGUGCGAAAGCGUGGGUAGCAAACAGGAUUAGAUACCCCUGUAGUC